GAUAAAAUGGCUGAAGUUUAGGCAAUAAAUUGUAAAUUUAUUUAUGAAGUUUUUCUUUUAUCA
rnacentral:tRNA from 1 species